GUCCCUGUAAUGCAAUGGAUUGGAUGUUGGACUCCUAAUCUAAAGGUCGUGGGUUCGAAUCCCACCUGGGAUA